UCAGGCGAUUUUGGAGAGUUUAUUUUUGAAACGCGAGAGUACUGUUAACAUUAUGCUUGCAAUUUGUGAUCAAUUUUCCUCUUUUUCGGCUGUAGAAAAAGUCGUGAAGGUUUUUGAAGAAGAGCAGGGUCCUAAUGGAGGAGAGAUUUGAGGACGAUCGCUGCAGCCAAGAAAAGGCUGAAAAAUCUUGUUGACAAUCCUGUUCUGAAGUGAAAUACUAUUACUACGACAUGCAUUGCAUGCGUCAAAGAGGUGGUCAAGAGUUCGGGCAAGCGACCUAAUCGGAGAUGCAGUCAUCGAUCUGCCUUUGCCAUCAAUGCGGCGCUGUUUUUAUGGAUGAGGAUGAUAUGGAUUUUCACAUCCGGUAUCAGCAUGAAGAGGGCCCAUGUAUGUAGUCCGGGCAGUAAUAAGCGUCAAGGAACUGGUGGGGAUGGGGAAGAACAACAUAAGAAGAAGAAAGUUUCUUUUAGUGAGGUUGAGGACGUUGAAAACGACAAGUUUGACUAUUAUGAUGAAAAUGCCCCUCUGUCGAAGGCACAGAAGGAUUUGUUAUAAGAUGUAUUUGGGGAUCACAUAUUCGAUGAUGAUAGUGAUGAAGAAGAAGAAGAUAAUGAUAGCAUCGGUACGCCAGUUCAAGACGAGCGGGAGUUCAAUCAAACUAAUGAAAUUUCUUCAUCAAAUAACGUGACCAUGAGUAAUGGCGAAGAAAUGGCAUGUUUCUUGGCAAAAGUCGAGGAGCAGAAUUUGGGCAGAUACAGUCCAGUGACCACAUGGGGAUGUCUUGCAACAAAGAAAUCCAGCGUUAUGGAAAACAAAUCAGUGAAGAUGAUCCCUUUGGAGCCUGUGGAUAAAGUAGAGAUCGUUGAUCCAAGGUUGAAAAUGGAUUACACAACAAAGUUUAAAAGGGCCAGUGCAGGAAAGAACGUUCUGCCAUUGGAGGAAGGCAUUCCCGGAAAAUCACCUUUGACAUACACUGUUACUGAAGUUACCAAUUUUCCGAAUGGACUGUCUAAAUCUAUAUCGAGAACAUGGUCAUACGCAGCUGAAGACGUCUCUCUCGUGGAAGAAUGAUCUGUUUUAAUCCGUGACACUUUGUAUGAUCGUUGGUGAUGCUACGAAAAUCACCGUGUUAAUAAUUAAUAGUUAGAGACGUGUUUUAAAUUCAGUUCAUAACUCUAAUGAUGCCAUGUGCAUUGGAAAUCAUCCGUGACACUUUGUAUGAUCGUUUGUGAUGCUACGAAAAUCACAGUGUUAAUAAUUAAUAGUUAGAGACGUGUUUUAAAUUCAGUUCGUAACUCUAAUGAUGCCAUGUGCAUUGGAAGUCAUCCGUGACGUUUUGUAUGAUCGUUUGUGAUGUUACGAAAACCACAGUGACCUGACCUAGGCCGUAUGAACUGGUAGUGAUACUAUGUAUGCCGCACAGAGGUGAUGGACCUCAGAUAGAGAUAGUUAGUUUGUUGGGGUUUUUUUUAUCGAACUGACUAUGAGGUGUCGGAAAGUGACAAUAAUGGGACACACGCAUAAUUGUUUGUGUUUUACGAUACUAUGAGAGACAGUUGCGGUUGACUGAGUUUGUUGAUCUAUAUUUAACUAUUAAGUGUUGGCCAAAAUCUUUUUGUCAAAUUCACACAUAGUUGAAUUUUGGUUGGGGGCUAUGUAGAGAUUUUGACCCUUUUUUGCCUUUGGCAUCAUUGCAAAAUCUUUCCUUUAAGGUUUCUUUAAUUUAACAAAGUGUUUUGACUUGGAUGUCAAUUUUAUGAGUUGACCAUCCGUAUUUAAGAAUUAAUGUCAUGUGGGUCCCUUUUCUGCAUCUUUUCCUUUUUUAACCCUGUCCAGCCUCACUUUCAUCCCUUGGAAUAUAAUUGUUUAAGUCAGUCCUACAACUUUUCAUCAAGAUUUAAGAAUUCUACUAAUUGGAUUGUCAAAGUGUGAAUAUGGAUUCUAAUCAGUCAAAAUAUCAGGUAAUUAUCUGGUCCCUUUUUCUAAGUCGUCUUUUUAAAUCUAUCUGUGUCUAUACCAAUUUUAUUCAAGCUGUUUUAAAAUUCUUUGACGUCUGGUAAAAUUUAAGUGCACUAUGGAAGCUGUGCAAAUCUUUGUUUACUGUGUAUUUUACACUACGGGUCAAUGACCUUGGACCUGAGCCAAGUUGACGGUCCUUUUUGUCAUUCCAAAACUGCGCAUUUAAAAUACGUGCGGUUUUCGACUUUAGGUCAAUAUAUAUUUACAAUCGGUUUUUGGAACAAUAAUUACUUUUAAUUAGCUUCCAUUAUGUUUAUUUUAAAGAAGUUAAGGCAAGUCCGUCACUUUUCGUUUGGUGAUGACGUCAUACCGUCUCACUUUCGUCAAGUUGUCGACGAUGUCUCGUCAACUUCUAAAUGUCAAAAUUAUACAUAUCGUAUGUGACUUGUAGUCUUGUGAACCGACGUCAGGGUAUUUUUCAUAUGAUCUUAUGAGAUUUUGUGUAACUAUGGACUUGCAAAAUAUAUAUUUACCUCUUUAGGCAGCUCGAUCGGUUUUUCGUCAAAAGGCGUAACUUUGACCGGGAAAAUAUUGCACGAGGUUUUGGGCUACGUUUUACGAUCGGUUAUAUCGUGCAUAAAGUUUAAUAACAUCGAUCAAAACAUGUAUGAGGUGAUAAAGUACUACCUUAUUGUUGAUAUCCUUAUGAUAUUUGGAACUGUUAUCAGUCAGUGGUGCGGUAUUUCGUCAGUUUAUCCAUCGUUUACGGUUUCCUUCUUGGUAAAAAUUUACUGUUAUUGACGCGAUGUAUUUCGACCAAUGCAAAUGCGCGUGGGGUGUAACGUCACCUGAUUGACCCGGGGAGUUGAUUGAAAAUCAUUGUUGCGUUGGCGCGGGAAAAAAAAGUAACGUCGUUUGACUUUCCUCAAAAAGAGAGGGGUUUCGCUCGUGGUAACGUCGUGACGUUGUUAACGUACAAUUUUACGAAAAAGGCACGCUGGGUGCGAUACGUCGUCUGUAUAGAUUGUUGCAUUUAUGAUACGUUGUUUGUCUCAAUUGUCAAACUGGGUUGCUCCCUUGCGAUAUAAAAGCUGGGAUUCACUUUGGGCGAGAGAAAUUUAGAAAACCAGUGUUUGUGGGAACUCUCGUCAAACGAAACUAAAUCCGUGGUCCCGGUCUCUGUGCUGUCUCUAUUAUACGUCGUAACGUUUAAUGGUCUGUGUAUCUGUAUUCGUCGCUCAUAUAAGAAAUACGUGUUACCAUCGUCUAUAUAUACAUCUGUGAAUAUUCCGUUAUCAAAUAAAUCUUAUUAUACGUUA